rnacentral:rRNA from 1 species
CGAACGCUGGCGGCGUGCCUAAUACAUGCAAGUAGAACGCUGAGGUUUGGUGUUUACACUAGACUGAUGAGUUGCGAACGGGUGAGUAACGCGUAGGUAACCUGCCUCAUAGCGGGGGAUAACUAUUGGAAACGAUAGCUAAUACCGCAUAAGAGUAAUUAACACAUGUUAGUUAUUUAAAAGGAGCAAUUGCUUCACUGUGAGAUGGACCUGCGUUGUAUUAGCUAGUUGGUGAGGUAAAGGCUCACCAAGGCGACGAUACAUAGCCGACCUGAGAGGGUGAUCGGCCACACUGGGACUGAGACACGGCCCA